CUACGGGGUGCUGCAGUGGGGGAUAUUGCACAAUGGGCGAAAGCCUGAUGCAGCAACGCCGCGUGAAGGAAGACGGUUUUCGGAUUGUAAACUUCUAUCAGCUGGGAAGAAAAUGACGGUACCAGACUAAGAAGCCCCGGCUAACUAUGUGCCAGCAGCCGCGGUAAUACAUAGGGGGCAAGCGUUAUCCGGAAUUACUGGGUGUAAAGGGUACGUAGGCGGCUGAUCAAGUCAGAUGUGAAAGCCCGGAGCUCAACUCCGGGAUUGCAUUUGAAACUGGUCGGCUAGAGUGCAGGAGAGGUAAGUGGAAUUCCUAGUGUAGCGGUGAAAUGCGUAGAUAUUAGGAAGAACACCAGUGGCGAAGGCGGCUUACUGGACUGUAACUGACGCUGAGGUACGAAAGCGUGGGGAGCGAACAGGAUUAGAUACCCUUGUAGUC
rnacentral:rRNA from 1 species